AGAGUUUGAUCAUGGCUCAGAAUCAACGCUGGCGGCGCGCCUAACACAUGCAAGUCGAACGAGAAAGUGGAGCAAUCCAUGAGUACAGUGGCGUACGGGUGAGUAACACGUGGGUAAUCUACCUCUUAGUGUGGAAUAACCCUGGGAAACCGGGGCUAAUACCGCAUAAGCUCGAGAGAGGAAAGCAGCAAUGCGCUGAGAGAGGAGCCCGCGGCCGAUUAGCUAGUUGGCAGGGUAAAAGCCUACCAAGGCAAAGAUCGGUAGCCGGCCUGAGAGGGCACACGGCCACACUGGCACUGAAACACGGGCCAGACUCCUACGGGAGGCAGCAGUGGGGAAUCUUGCACAAUGGGGGCAACCCUGAUGCAGCGACGCCGCGUGAGCGAUGAAGCCCUUCGGGGUGUAAAGCUCUUUCGGCAGGGAAGAUUAUGACGGUACCUGCAGAAGCAGCUGCGGCUAACUACGUGCCAGCAGCCGCGGUAAUACGUAGGCAGCAAGCGUUGUUCGGAGUUACUGGGCGUAAAGGGUGUGUAGGCGGUUCUCUAAGUUUGGUGUGAAAUCUCCCGGCUCAACUGGGAGGGUGCGCCGAAUACUGAAGGACUAGAGUACGGGAGAGGAGAGUGGAAUUCCUGGUGUAGCGGUGAAAUGCGUAGAUAUCAGGAGGAACACCGGUGGUGUAGACGGCUCUCUGGACCGUAACUGACGCUGAGACACGAAAGCGUGGGUAGCAAACAGGAUUAGAUACCCUAGUAGUCC
rnacentral:rRNA from 1 species